rnacentral:rRNA from 1 species
GACGAACGCUGGCGGCGUGCUUAACACAUGCAAGUCGAACGGAAAGGCCUGCUUUCCCUUGUGGAUUGCGGGUACUCGAGUGGCGAACGGGUGAGUAACACGUGAGUGAUCUGCCCCCAACUUGGGUAUAAGCCUGGGAAACUGGGUCUAAUUCCCGAUAGGACUGCAGGGUGGUGCCUGUGGUGGAAAACGAUUUUCUAGUGGUUGGGGAUGAGCUCGCGGCCUAUCAGCUUGUUGGUGGGGUAAUGGCCUACCAAGGCGGCGACGGGUAGCCGGCCUGAGAGGGUGGACGGCCACAUUGGGACUGAGAUACGGCCCAGACUCCUACGGGAGGCAGCAGUGGGGAAUAUUGCACAAUGGGCGGAAGCCUGAUGCAGUGACGCCGCGUGGGGGAUGACGGCCUUCGGGUUGUAAACUCCUUUCGACCGCGAGGAAGCCACCUGGUUGGAAGGGUGGUGACGGUAGUGGUAGAAGAAGCACCGGCUAACUACGUG